AAAAAAAAAAACUAAAAAAAAACUAAAAUUGAUGUUGCACUAUGGUAUGAACUACUAAUGCUAAAUUCGGAACAGACAAAUAUUAAUAAAAAGUUAAGAAUAUUCGAAACAGAUAAUAUAUAAAAUAUUAACAAUAUACAUGCGAUAGUAACAGUAUAAAACAAUAAUAAUGCAUAUGGUAUUAAACAUGAUAGUAAUAGCAUUAAACACGAAAUAAAAUCAUGAAUAUAUAUAUAAACAUAUAAUAAUAAAUGAAGUAACGUAAACAUAAUAUUAAAAAUACUAAUAGUGCUAUAUAUAUACACAUAUUAAGAUAUAUACCAUAAUAGGUAUUAAUGGUGCAUUAAUAGUAUUGAAAAUAUGUAUAUAAUAUAUAAAAGGAUAACAUUGAAAAUACAUACAUAAUGCAAAGUUAAAAAUAAUAUAUGAAAUAUACAUACAUAAUAUCUAUUAAAAGAAUAUACACAUAAUAUAUAUACGCAUGUAUUAAAAAUAAUAAUGAUAUUUAAAAUUAAUUAUUAACAAUGUUACAUAAAAGUGUAUAUAUAUAUGAAUGUUAGAAUAUUUAUUGAAACCAAAACUAAUACAAAUAGUAGUAAAACUAAUAAUAUAAUAUAAUAUAAAAAUAGGUAAUUAAAAACACUAUGAUAUGAAUACGUAUAUAUAUGCAUAUAUAAAAAUACAUACCAAUAUUAAUAAUAAUAAUGAUACUAGAAAUAAUAAUGAAACACACAUAAGUAAAUAAAAUAUAAUAAUAAUACUAAAAUAAAGUAAAUAAAAAAAUACUAUAUAUGGAUAUAUACACAAUAAUAUAAAAAAAUGUGAUAUAAAAACCAUAUGUACAUAAUAAUAUGAAAAACAUAUAUAUAUAAUAUAACAUUAGAAUAUUUACAUAAUAUAUACAUAUUAGGGAUAAUAAUAAUAAUGUUAUAAAACAAUUGUUAAUAAUACUACAUGAACAUAUACAUACAUAUACAUAUUAAAGAUAUAUACAUGUAUAAUAAAACAUAUACUACUACUACUACUAAUAAUAAUAAUAAUAAUAAUAAUAAUAAGGAUAAUAUAAGAAUAUAUACAUGAAAUGGUAUAAGAAAUAUGUAACUAAUAACAUUAAAGUAUGUACAUGAUAGAUGGAAUAUAUACAAUAUAGUAUUAGAUAUAUAUAUAUACAAUAGUAUAAAGGAUGUAUAACUAAUGAUACUAAAAUAUAUGCAUAAUAAUAUACGUAAAAUAUAUACACAAUAUAGUUAUGAAAAUACAUAUAUACACAUAAUAUAGAAUUUAGAAUAUGCCUAAUAUAUUAAAAGAGUAUACAUAUAGUAUAGUAUUAAGACAAAUAAUAAAAAAACUAUUAAUAAUAAUAUAUAAUAUACGUAUAACUAUUAAGUAGAAAUAAUGAUAAUGAAAUGUUAAUAAAUAAAACUAUAAUAACCAUCACAUUAACAAUAGUGUAAUUAAUAUUUAAAUUAAGAUAAAAUGAUAAGAAAAGUAAAAAAGGACGUAAUUGAAUAGGAAAAUAAAAUUUUGAGGCAAAUUCAAAAUUAAAAUAAAAAGUAAGGGCUUAUUUGAAAUCGCGUGAGGUGUAGGGGGACCAAAAGCGCAAUAUUCCCAAGCCCUUAAAACUAUGUCGUGUCAACAAGGACUCAUUUGAAUUCUAAAAAAAUUAUGGGGUUGAUUUCAAAAGUUACAGGAACUUACUUGCAAAAUAAUGAAAACGAGGAUCCUAGCGGGCAGGGUCGGGUCGACCCGAUCCAUGAUGAAACAACGCCGUUUCAAUGCUUAAGUGCAGGGCCUAAAACGACGCCGUUCCAGACCCCUAUAAAAGUUAAAAUUUUUUGAAAGUUCAAUCAUUUAUGCGUGUUGAGGAAAAAAAGAGGGAGAGAGAAACUUAUUUUCUCUGGAUCAAAUCCAGAAUCUGGCCCGGAAGACCACCGUCGCCGUCGCAUCUCCGUCGCUGCCGGCCACCGUACACAGUGGCCGGACUUUCAAAAAAAUGUAUUUUUAGUUCUUUUUUCUUUUAUAUUUUAUGUUCUUUAUUUUUGUAUAUACAUAUGCAUGUAAUCAAAAAUAAAAAUAAAAUCUUUAUGUAUAUGUGUGUAUAUGGAUGUGCGUAUGAAAAAGAAAAAUGUUGGCUACCUUAGACUGAAUCUGCUUAUUGCUUACUUUUUUUCCUUCGAUUUGAACUGAUUUCUUUGUUCUAAAACCUGUUGUUUGUAUUGAUAAAGAAUGGCCAGCUUUUUCUUUUUUCAUUUUUUUGUAUUUUUUUAUAAACUUUUUUUUCUUUUACAAAUUUUCAUUCGUCUUUAUAGCCUAUUUGGUAUACUGUUUGUUUCCCUUUUUUGUUGUUGUUGCGUGUUUCACUUGCUGUGCAAGUGGUGGUUGAACGGUGGUGCAGAGGCUGGUAUGGGCGAUGGGACGUUGUCGGUGUUGAGGCAGUUUAGGGUUUCAAAUUUUUUUGAAACCCUAAGUCUAGAGUUGAGUCAAAAAUUGGGCUUCUUAAGUUUGGGCUAGUUUGAGCAUUGGGCUUGGGUUUAGAUUGGAUUUAGUUUGUAAUAGGUUGUUGGGGUUAUGAAACAGGUUGAGGUUUAAGUGGGCUUUGUAAAAUAGGGUUUGGGUUUCUAUUACGUUAAUGGGUAUUGGUUUAAGUGUGGGUAAAAUUGGGCUGUGGGUAUUUUGUAAAAGGGUCUAAUAUUGGCCUACAACAUCUAUAACUUAUUCUUUAGAAGUUUUAAUAAUAUAUAUUAUAUACACAGUCUACCCUUCUAAUAAGAUCAUUUUCAUGAUUCGAACUUAGGUUAUCCCUAAAUUAUUUUCAAGUGCAAUUUAUAUCUACAAUAUGCAAAAAAAAAAUUCACAUAAAUAUAAAAAAAUAUUAACUAAGUUAAAUAACCAAAUACAAAAAAAAAUUAUUUUCAAUAAAAUAAUGAAAAAUAAAACAAAAAUAUCAGAGAUAAAAAUUAAACAUUAUUAAAAGAAGUUAAUUUGUUAAAAAUAUCUCAAAAUUAAUUUUUGUUCCCUCGUUUUUGAACCUAAAAAAGUUAAUUUCUUAAAAUAUUUAGAUAUGAAUUACGCAAAUCUUCAAGAUUUUUUUUGUUUGUUGAAUCAAGAAUGAUUAAAUUUCAAAAUUAAAAAGAAAAUCGAGAAUAUUUGAAGUCAUUAUCACUAAUUUAUACAUGAGUAUAUAGAAUUGGGUUUUGAUUUUUAAUGAUUAUUUACACAUAUUUUUCGUGUAAGUUGUGUUCAUCGAAACCUUUCUUAUGCAUCCAUUUUUCAACAACUCUUAAUUUUGUUAAAUCAUGAUUUAGUUUGUUUGUGCAUAAAAAUCAUAAAUUAAUUAAGAAACCAAAUAAUAAAACAGAAGAUCAUUACACAAUAAAAUUUACUUGAAUAAACUAACAAAAAAGAAGGAGAAAUUGGAAUUGGGUUUGUGCAUAGGUCAUAUCUAAUUAAUAUGGGGUGAAUUAGCCAAUAAGAACUACUCUUAGUGGUAAACAAGGUAGGUUUGGAUUUCAUAUUAAUUCUCACCAUAUAUUCAUAUUAUUUAUUUUGUUAUGACAAUUAUAGCCUAUGAACCAAGAAAUUUGAGCUUUCAACCUUAGAAAGUAAAAUAAUUAACUAUAGAUGCGAAACUUGAAUUGAAUUACAUUUAUAAAGGCUAAUCAAUUUAGGUUUUUUUUUUUUAGAAUUUUAUUAUUAUAAAUAUAAUACAUUUACAAGUAAUAAUAUUUAAUUAAUUAUAAAAUUAAAUUAAUACAAAGCAUAAAAAAUAAUGAACAAAAAAAAAUUCAGAUCAAAUAAAGCAAGAAUUAAAUAAAAUCUACCCAUAAUAUAUAUAUAUAUAUAUAUGAAAACCGAUACAUUAGUAUUACGCAUGAUGGCCUCAAACUUAAAUAUUCAAAGAUCCAAUAUUUCUUCCUUAAAAACCACUAUUUAUUCCAUAAAAUAAUGUUUAAAUGGAUAUCGAAAAUAUUAAGUUUGACAAGAAAUUGGGUUCAAAAUCAAGUAACAGUAUUAUCAUCCAAAAGGAGAACCCACUUAAUUAUUGUACGGAUUAACUGUUAAAUGAUUUGACAUAAGUCAGUAAAAUGGAAUGUUAAAGUCAGAUUUAAUUAAAAAGUUUAGGGAUAAAUUUGAAGCUUAGUGACUAAGCAGAUUUUACUUUCCAAGAAGAAUCUGAUUUUUUUUGGAGAAGAUACAAAGGGGGUAGGCUUUCGUGUGUAGGAGGGAUUCAAAUUUCAUAAUUGUAUUGAAUUUAAACAUUUUGGACUAAAUCAGCUCAAAUUCAAUUUUCUUUUCUCCGAAUCUUAUUAUUGGUCAGGUUUACUUGAACCCCACGUAGUGAGUGUUUUGAUUUGAGUGAUUGAAAAUUUAAAUAUUAUUUUAAGGAAAAAAACAAAAUAUUAAAACGAUUUAUUUCAAUUUCUCAAAAGCUUCAUGAAAGCCUUUUUUUUUUUUAACGUUUCUUUCGUAUAAAAUAAGAUAGUUAGUGUAAAAUUACCUCAUUAUUCUCCUAAAAUAUCUUAUCAAUUUUUUUUCAUAAGUUAUUUUUUAAAUUGAUAAGGUUCUAUUCAUUGUAACAUUCUCAUACCUAACCCAAAUAUCAGGUCAAAACUCUAAGAUGUUACAUUCUCUACUACAUUCUUCACUUAUCAAUUUUUUUUUAUAAAAUUUCAAUUUAGUCUCUUUUUGUAAUAAAAGUUCAAUAUUCACUAAUUAAUCAUAUUAAAUAAAUUUUCUUUCUUAUUACACUUUAAUCACAUAAUUUAUCUUAAUAUCUUGUUUUACAUAUCAAAUUUCUAUGUAUUUCACUUCAAGGGCGAAGCCAGAAAAUUUUUUUUGAAGGGUUGGAUGAAAUUUUAAUUUUUUAUAGUUUAUAUAUUUAUAAUUUGUAAAGGAUUAAAUCAAUUUUUUAUAAUUUUAGGGGGCCAAAGUACAAUUUUACCUUUACUAAUUUAAAUUUUUUAAAAAAACUUAAGGGCCUAAAAAAUAAUUUUACAUUUUAGGGGGGCCGGGGCCCAUGCCAGCCCCCUAGCUUCGCCCUUGUUUCACUUCUAUUAUUUCAUCCACAGAUUUUCUCAAGUUUAACAAUUUAGUCCUUGUCAUCAUAAAAAUUCCAUAAUUUUACUUUUACAACACUUUAUGCAUAUUUCAUCAUCUCAUAACACAUUAAUUAAAAUUUUAUCAUGAUUUCCUUAUUCACAUAUUAAAUUGUUUCACAUUUAAACUUUUGUACAAUUUUCAAUUUAGUCCCUAUAGCCAUGUAAUUUAUUUUUCACCAUAUAAGCAUUUUAAUCAAAUAAUUCAUUAUAAUAUCUUAUUUCACGUAACAAAAUUUCAUGUACAUCACUUCUCUUGUGACGCCUCGAAUUUAGGGUUAGAAGAGUCAGGGUUUGUAGGAUAAGUCACUGGGUGUGAUGAGACUUUUAAAUAUAUUUUCGUGUUUUAAAGAUAACAUGAACUUGUUGGUUUAAUGGUAAAAUGCUUGUUAAUUUGCCUUUAAGUCUUGUCUUCGAGUCUUUCUGAGAGUUUAAAGGAAGUUAAUUUUUUUUAAUUUUAAUUUUGUUAUACGAAAAUGAUAAUUUUUGAAAAGUUAGUUUUAUUUUAUCUUAAUUUAGUUUUAUUUUAUCUUAUUUUAAUUUUUAAAUAAAAAAUAAAAAAAGAAAAAUCCCAAAAUUUUCUCUCACGUUUGCCUCACCCUCUCCUAUUCACGUCAGUUUCCUAUUCUUUCUCCCAAAUUUUCAAACUUUUGUUUUUGGCUACUGUGCUCUCCUUUUGCCAUCGUUUUUAUUUUUUAUUUUAUUCCUUUCUUUGAUUCACCAUUUCUUUAGUCUACCGAUUUUACUUAUUUGUUUUUUUUCCUCCAAAGCUUUAAUAAUUUCAAGCCACUUUAAUUGUUUCAAUAUAAUUUUUGAUUGCUGUUCCAUUGGAGUUCAUUCAAUUUUUUUUCUUUCUCUCUGUUGACGUCAAAGUUUUAUUAGAUUAGUAUUGUGGUGGCGAAUCGGUCGUUCAUUGGUGUCGAAACUCUUUUUAUUUUGAAAGCAAUGGGGAUCGACUUUUGAAAACAAAAUUGUGGAGUCGCCACCAAUCUCUUUAUUUAGGUAUGAUUGGGUCACCUACUAAAAUACUUUAUUCAUGAAAAAUCAAAAAGUGGGUUUAGGAGUCGGUUACGCUCAAAAAUUGGUACCAAAUUGAUUUGAUGCUAUCCUUAUAUCAAAAGAAAAGAUUUUUCACAGUAUGACUCCUUUUAAAAUGUUUAAAUAGUUUAAAUUAGUAGUCAAAAUUCUCUUAUUUCAAAUAUAUGCAGUUUCAUACUCAGUACGAUUGGAUACGAUCCCUUAUACCCUUAAAAUGCGAUUGAUUUUUGACUUUUGAAGACUCACAUACUAAAAUUAAAAGGUUAUCCAAAUAUUCAGUUCACCAGAAAAAUCAUACCCAGUACGAUUGAGCACGAUUUUCCGAAUUCCCCAAAUAUUGGAUAUUGCCUUAUUUCAAAUUUUUUUUGAAUGGUAGAAAAUUGGAAAUUUACUCAAAAAAUAUGUUUAUUUGUUUUAAAAUAAAUAAAAAAAUUAAUGCAUGGCAACAAAACGUAUAUAUAUAAAAAAAGGUUAAUGAAUAUGAAAUAAUAUACAAAAAGUACAACCUCACUUAAUACAUCCAACAAUUAAAUACAAUUAUUUUAUGUAUAAUGUAACAAAAAAAAUCUUUAAGCAUGGAUAAUGAACAAUUAAUAUAAAAAUAAUAUACACGAUGAUUAACAUAACACAAAAUAGAAUGAUGCACAAAAAUAUGUAUGAAACAAAAUGAUGAAUUAAUGAUUAUAUAAUAUAUAUAUAUAAGUUAACAAGUUUGCAUAAAACUUAGGAUAUAUGUUUAUUGAAAUAGUUAUUAUAAAAUACAAAGUUCAAAUCAAAUUAUAUAUGGAAUAUUUAAAACACAAAUUCAUUCCAAAAAUUGAUAAUUCACAUGAUAACUUAAAUAAUGUAUGAUGCAUAUACAAGUAAAAUUGGGUAUAAUUGUUUGUAAAAAAAAUGAAAUUAAUAAUGUAUGAAAAAACAAAGUAAAUAUUUCAGUUAUAUAGGUAACAAAAUAUAUAUAUAUAUAUAUAUAUAAAAUACAUAAGGAUAAUAUAUAAGUGUAUACAAUAAAUAAGUGGUAUGAUUUAAAAUAUGGUUCUCAAAAGAAAUAUAUUAUACACAUAAAUAACUUUAAAAUAGGAUAUAUACGUAGAAAAAUAUUUACAUAAAGUUAUAUGAAAAUAAUAACAUGUACUAUAGUAAAAAUAAUUUAAUAUGUGUUAUAUACAUGUGAAAGCAUUUUUAAAAUAAUUGAAUAUUAAAAUAAUAUAAAAUAAAAAAUGAAUUAUAAAAUUAACUUAAAAUUAGCAUAAAUUAUAUAUAUAAUCAAUAACAUAAAAAAAAACUGCAAUUAUAUAGAGCUAAAAUUACAUGUAAGAAAUAUUGCUUUGAUAAUGUAUGUAAGUUACAUAUAAGUACUAAAUAUAUGUUUAAUAAUAAUUCAAAUAAUAUACUUAAUAUGAAGAAAUAAUAAUACAUGACAAGGUAUUAUACAUAUGAUAGAUUUUUUUAUUUAAAAACUUAUGUAUAAAAUAAACACAUGUGAAAUUAGAAAAUUAUAUACAUACUAUUUUGCUCAAAAAUACUUAAAAGAAAUACUAAAUAACAUACUAGGAUAACAUAAUAAGGAGACAUAUUUCAAAAUAACAAUUUUAUAAAUACCAAGAUGGAUUUCCAAAACAAUAUCAUAUGUACAUAAAGACAUGUAAAUUAAACAUAACUUAAGAAAUAUUUUAAAUAAUUUAUGUAUAUAAAUAUAUUGACAACACUUAUUAAUAAGGUAUUAAAACAAUGUAAUAUAAAAAGAAUUUUACAACAUGCAAAACAAUGGUUAUUAUAAAAAAACUAAAAAGAAUGAUUAAUAUACAAAUAUAUGUAAAAUAUUUAAAGAAAUAAGAUACAUGAUGUAAAAAAUAAUCUACAAUAAUUAUACAAAUGUAGCAAACAAAAUUAUUUACAUGUAUUAAGGCAUACACAUAUUGAAUGUAUUCUAAAUUAACCGAUUAUACAAAUAUAAGACUCAAUUAAAAAUGCAUCAAGAUAAGAAGGAUAAUUUGUAAAUAAGAUGACCAUAAAAUAGAUCAAUGCAUAACAUGCAUAAAUAUAUAGGGACUGAUAUUGUAAAUCCUCCCAGGCCUAAAUCACAUCACUGUAUCAUGAAUUUAAAUGAAAAUGCGCUCAAAUCAGUGAGCCAAAUUGAAAAACAAAGCAAAGCAAAAAGGAUGCAGUCGAAGCCCCAUGCGAAUGCAAAGGACUUAGCGCGUAAAUUUCCCUUGCAUACAAAAUUGGCGCAGAUCCGAUUCACAAUUCGGGCCAAUGCGCAGACCAUUAUGGCCAGCAAACGCUGCCGUUUGGCUUUAUGGGUGAUUUUAAACCCUUUUUCCUUCAAACAUAACCUGAUUUUCAUUAUUUCUUAGUAGUAACAGCAGCCAUUAACCCCCAAUUGAUAGGGUUUCACUUGGCUCUAGCCGACAUGCAAAUAGCUCCAUCAAAGGCCGACGACAUGCGAUCAACGGCCAAAUCCUUGCCCACGCAAGUCGCAACCAUGGAGAUCCGGUAAGCCCCCCUUUCUCCUUCGUUUUUUUUUUUGUUUUAAAACAACCUUAAAUCAUAUUUUACUUCUUCGAAAACCAAAAAAAUAGAUAAACAAAGAUCGAAGAAAACGUUCGACCCUCCCCGAGUCUCUUCAUUCCUGAGAUGUGUGGGUUUUCAUCGGUAUCGACUUAUUUCUUAACAAAAAAAUCAUGCCAACUAAAGAGAUAAAUCAAAAGAGAAAAGAAAAGGAAAAAAAAAACACUUGAGAUCACCUUUGAUAUCUCUGAUUUUUCUAUAUUCUGUGUAUUUGCAUAAACGUAUAGUAUGCAUACAGUGUGCGUAAAAAAACAAGGUACAAACAAUGGCUAUUUAUAGCCAAAUUUACAGAAUAAAUGAAAAAUAAAAAUACAUUUUCCCUCUGUCAUUUGGCUGUAAAUUCUGUUGCUGCUUCUUCUCGUAUAUUCUUUUGCAGGUAUAAAGAAACGGCCGUACGGAGAAAGCCCCUCGUGAAAGCCGUGCGUGAGUUCGAUUGCAGCACUGGUGCAUUCUAGAAACCCUUAAGUUUCUGGCAUUUUCAAGCAAUUGGGCCUUUUGGGCCAUUUGUGAAUUGGGCUAUAAGACUGUAUAGUUUGGGUGUCCGUUUAAUUGGGUCAAAUUAUAUGUAGUUGGGCUAAGGAACUUUGGUACUUGUUUAGGCUAUGGGUUUAUUAGAAUUGGGUUUUGGGUCAUGGGUUAUUUAGUAUUUUGUAAAGGGAUUUUUUUUGGACUAUUUGGUCUUGGUCCUUAUUCAUUUAUUUGGGUUUAUUAUUUGCAAAUAAAUUAAAUGGGCCUGGGCAAAAUUGGUUGACUACAAAUGCUGUUUGGGAUCACAUUUUAAGGUGUGUUUCUUGAAUACUCGUGUUUUGUAGCAAGGGUUGUUGUGGUCCUAUGUUUAUAAAUUUUUCAGCUUUUUGCAAUUUGUAGUUUUUAGUUUUACCUUUCUUGCAAGUGUAUUGUCAGGGUUUUUUUUUUUUUGUGACUUACAAUCUGCAUUAUUAUUUUGAUAGACUUAAGGCCUAUCCGUUAGCACUCAUUCGCUCUAUAGUGUGCGAACCACAAACGAAUUGCUUUAUGUUGUUGGAGUUCUUUAUUUCUUAUGGUUUCCCACUAUUAGCUAAUUUUAGUUUUCUUUUCUUUUUAUCAUUUAUUAUAUUACAAAUUACCCAUUUACUAUUAUUAAGACAAGGAUUUUUCAUGCAUCCAAUUCUUGAUCGCUUUAGAUCCUGCAUUAGGCUUAGUUAUUAGUAAUCAGGGAAAAUUUUUUUAGGAAGAGCUAGAUGAAAUUUUAAUUUUUUAUAGUUUAUAUCUUUAUAAUUUGUAAAGAAUUAAAUUGAAUUUUUAUAAUUUUAAGGGGGCCAAAUACAAUUUUAUCUUUAUUAAUUUAAAAUUUUUAAAAAAAUUUAAGGGCCAAAAUAAUAAUUUUAUAUUUUAAGGGGGCCGGAGCCUAUGCCAGCCCCCCUGUCUUCGGCCCUGUUAGUAAUGUUGUUUCCUCAUUUUUAUUUACAGAUUAUCUUUGUAUUAUAUGUGGACUAAUUAUCUUUAUUGUCGCACUCAAAACUACUUCUCAUGAAUUCAUUUAUGUUUUCUUCCUUGAUGACUUGUUAUAAUAAUUUUGUAAUAUGAGAUUGAUUGAAAGUGUUAAACAAAAUUUACCUAUGUCGAUGAUUCGGCUAAUUGGUGUCGGUUAUAAAUAUGUUUGAGAGUUGUUGGUAACUGAACAUGAGAAUGUUCAAUUUUGUAUAUCUGUAUGCAUAAUACCAUUUGCAUUUACAUUUGUGAUUGGGACAUGGUUUUGAAGUGAAGGAAGUUCGUAUUAGCAGUUCCACUGCAUCUUUAUAUUUUUAACGGUGUUUCCGCAUUACUAAAAGUGGCAUAUGACCACUUCAUGGUGUGAAUUGGUUGGAAGGGUCCACCAUAACCCGAUAAUGGUGUGUAGAGGAUGGAAGGGUUUAGAAAAGACCCUAUUUUUGGUGUGUGACGGUUGGUUGGAGAUGGUGUGUAUAGGCUGGAUAGGUGGGGAUUUUGUGACCUUUUGUAUUUGAAUGUGAUUUGUGUGUCUGUUUAAGGAUAAUGUGGAAUAAUGCGUUAAAUUUGAAAAGCGUUGUGGACAAUUAUAAAUAAAGGUACGCGUUAUUCAAAUUUAUUCGAUUUACAUUUUCUCUUAGUUGUUGUUUUAAUAGUUUUGCAAUAGUCUUACAUUUAAUCAAGUACAUUAGUUUAUCCGCGAUUAAUAUUAUGCAUUAAUUUAUAUGACUUUUAUAAACAUUUUAAGUUUUAAAAAAUAUUGAUCUCACAAUCCAAAUUUCCUACCUCCGCCCUUGACAAUAUCUAUCCUACGGUUAGGAUGCUAGCAUUAAUCAAGUUUAUUGAUGAAAAACCUAGAAAGUUAUUUUAACAAGAAAAAAAACUCCUAAAUUAAGAAGAAUAAAUGGAAGAGAGACCAUCAAGCCAGAAACAUAGUAGACUAUAGAGGAUAAUAAAACAACUUCAACUCGAAGGUUUCAUAAAUCAUUCUUCCAAUUGCUUUAAAACUCUCUUAAGAGAUAAGGAUCAUGAUAAACAUUGUCUUCACUCUAAAUUUCUCAAUAUAACCAAUUAAAGAGUUGAAGAGUCCUAACCAAAGAUCAAUUGUUGUUUUGUCAAACAUGUUAUUCUUUAGUAGGCAAAAAAAAAAAAAAAAAGAAGAGUCAAACACGCAUGGGGCUAAAACAACUCAUGACCCAAGCGAAAAAUUUGUUCUCAUUCUAACCGAACAUGGAACGACCAGGUAAAAAAUCCCAACAAUCUCUCCAUUGACAUUUUUUAUAGAACCAUGUUUGAUUACACACUCCCCCUAUCAAUAUGUUUGUUCAUCACAUAAUCAAUUAAGCAUGCAAGAAGGUCAUAAAUAAACAAUAAUAUAUCAACACCAUCUUCUUCUUUUCUUUUUUUUUUAAAAAAAAUCACCAAUCAUCUCCUUUUGACAAAGAGAAAUGUAGCAAUCAUAACCAAGAACAAAACUUUUCAUUUGCUAAUACCAUUUUCUCCCCCUUUUUGGUAAAAUUGGCAAAAGUGCAACCAUAAGUGAAAACAAAGUAGACUAAAUUUCCAAAUCAACAUUAUUACUUCCCUUUACUCCGUUAAUCCUCUAUCGACUUCCAUCAUGUUGUUUAAAGCGGAUGAGAUCAAAUGUUACCGUAUCAACAAGAGGAGUUGUAGCUCGUGGAGCAACAAACACUUGUUCCACCAAAUCUAGUGUCCAAUACUUGAUAUAUCUUCAAUAUGAUCUCCAUCAAAUUGUAAUUUCAUGCUUCACACGAGCAUUAAUUAAAUGCUGAUAUUCAUUACUCAAAUUUCCUUGAUCUUUCCUCGCCUAAAUUUGUCUAUACUGUGGUUUCCUUGUUCCAUUCAUUGUUCUAACAUGUUUUUUUAGUUGAGUUGAACUUCUUCCAAUCGCACAUCAACUUAAAACAAUAGGGUCUGAUAUCUCCAACUUUCCCACAAUAAUGAUAUACAAUAUUUCAAAAUCCCUGCCUCAUUAUAAAAAGAAGAACUCACAUAUUUAGCUUUAACAAAAAUUCUAGGCGCGAUAGGGUCUUUACCUUUAUUUAUUGAUGUAACCAAGCCCUCUGUGGCUUGGUUUAGUUCUCAUUGAAGCCAAAUUUUCAUCCAACUUCUUAAUUUGGCCUUUAAACUUCUUCAAAACAACAUUUGCAUCCUCUAGCUCGCUCUUAGUUGCUUUCAAUGCAUUAUAUUUUAUUGACCACAAUUUUGAGUUUUUCUUUUUCGCCUUCAGGGAAAAUAAUUUCUUCCCUCAAGGAAUCAUUUAAUUGGCACAAUAUUUGCAUUUCUUUAACUUAUGGCUAUAAGCAUCCUCCAAAGAUUUCAAAGGAUCAUCAUCAACAUCUGGAUCUUCUUCAGAAUUUAUUAAAACAAGGUUUGGAACAAUAGUAGUAAAAGCAAUAUAGUUGCUCACAUUUUCAUAUACAUUAAAACUUUCUUCUUCACUCCAAGUGACUCUAAGUGACUUCUCAUUCUUUUUAGUAUUAGCACAUUUUGAUUGAAAUGAUUAAAUCCUUUUCAUUCAUAACAUUGAACAUCUUUCUUUCUCAUCCCAUUGGUAUCUAAUUUAGUUCCCUUCUAAGUGAACUUCUUCAUGCUCUUUGUAAGUAAGACUAAUUGCUUUUUUGAUCUCACCAAUAUCUUCCAUUGUCUGUUUCAUUGUUGGGACAACAUUUUGAGCAUUGAAUGUUGCGUUCUUUGGAAAACUCAUUUGAUCACGUUUCACUUCCUCCAUAUUUAACUCAAAAAUUUGGAGUGAGCCUAUUCAUUCGUCCAACUUGAGAGAGGUAAUAUCUUUAGCCUUCUCUAUUUCCGUGACUUUAAUUGUUGUUCUGUCACAAUUUGUGAUAGCAAAUUAGGUUCUUUCUGGCACUUAAUGAGCUUAUUUUUGGCAUAAUUUAGUGUUAUUUUGAUUAGUUUUACAUUUUAGUCUUCAAUGUUUAAUUUUGGUAAAAUAAGCGUUUUUACAUGUUUUUAGGUGUUUUGAUGACCCAUUAGGCCAAUUCUGGCUUAGGGUUAAUAGGCUACUUGAGUGUGCAGGAACAAAGCAAAAUAACCACAAGGAGAGAUAACAUACAAUAUUUGUUAAAGCUGAAAAAUGUUAAACGCAAAGUAACACAAAGAGCAAACUAAUGAGAGAUAAUAAAUAUUUGUUAACACAGUUUAGACACCUAUUGGCUAAAGCCCAAUCUACCUUUACAUAAAGAAGUAAUUGCAACCUUAAUACCGACCUUAAUUGUCACAAAUCACUCACCCAAAUACUUCACAAUUCAAUCAGGAAGCUCUCCAAAGAAUGCCUAAAAGAGUGUCACAAAAUAACCACAACAAAGCUGUCGACAAAGACACUAAAAAACUGCUUUCUAUGUGACACCACAAGCAACCUAUUUAUAAGCUUAUACUUGAGUCCAUCCAACAGAGUUUUGAUAAGCUUUAAACUCCUAUUUAAAAGCUGAAAUUGUCCCAUUAAUUAUCCCGAGUAUUUAUCAAAUAAAAGUACUCAUAAAUCAAUCUUCCAACUGCUCCAAAACUCUCUCAAGAGAUAAAGAUAACGGUAAAUAUUGUCAUCACUUAAAACUUUCUCAAUAUGACUAGUUAAAGAGCUGUAGAGUCUUAAGUGAAAACCAACCGUUGUUUUCUCAAACAUGACACUCCUUAGUAGGCCAAUAAAAACGUCCAACACCCAUGGGGCCGAAACAACCCACGACCCAAGUAGAAAAUUUGUUCUCAUUCUAACAGAACAUGGAACGAGCAAGUCAAAAAUCCCAACAAGAAAAAUUCAAUAGAUCAUUUAAGAAGUUGUUCAAGAAGACCAAAAGUAAUGCUGGUGGGUGUUAGCUUUGCUGUCUUAAGCUUUUGGUAAAACAAUAUUUGUGAUAAAUUUAAAUUAUUUAUUUCCUAACUCAUUUGGGAAAAAAUAUGGUUGAAAACUUUAUUAACAUUUUCAAAGACUUGCGAUAUGCUCAAAAGCAUCUUUUAAACAUGUUUUAAUUUAUUCAAAUGUUUUUGAGUCAAUAUCAAAAUGUUCUAAGGUGUUUAAAAUGUUUUAAAGAACUUUAGUAGUUAAAUCUCGAGACAUAGGACUCUAAGUCUCAAGACAAAUAAGUUAGUAGCCAAACUUUGCUCUAGGGGGUGCAAAGUAUGUUUUAAGACAUAGACUACAUGUCUAGAGACGUAAUAGUAAACUGCACGGGAUUUACUAUAUGUCUUAGAAUAUGGCAUGCAUGUCUCAAGACAUAGCCUUUCAAUGACUAUUUUUCAACCAAGUCUCAUGAUAUAUUGGCAAAUUUUGACACAUAAAUUGCAGGGACCUUUUUUUGUUUUGCUCGAAAUAAAUGCUUCCAACGAUUCUAUUUCACCCCCAACUGUCAUAAGCAUUUGCAAACUUGUUCUUUUGUAUAUAUAAUCUUCAAGAACACUUCAAGACAUAAUAUAGCAACAACUAAGCUUAAAGAUUAAGAAAAAAGUCUACAAAUCUUCACUAUUUCAUUUCUCUUAUAAAUAUUCUCUAAAAUCUUAGUGUCAAAUCUUUUACAAUUCAUAUAUCUUUGUUGUUAGAAUUAAGUGACCCGAAUCCUUAUUUAAAUAAAAUACAGUGGUAAAAUAAAAUAAAAGAAGAAUCAAUAUAUAGAAUUACAUUUCUUUUAUUUUAUUUUAGAAUAAGGUUUUUUAAACCUUAUUAAAUUCUAUCUAUUUGAUAUUGAUUAGAAUAAAGUGUUUCAGUUUUACUAGAAUAUGACUUCACAAGCCUUUAAAUAGACAUAGUCUAUUCCUGUUGUAAUAAUUUGAAUUCGACAUAGUGAAUUUUCUUCUCCUUUAUUCGUGAUUUUUUCUUGAAAAGGUUUCUAAGUAAAAAUUUAUAUAUUUUUUAUUUUAUUUUAUUUUAUUUUUUACAAAUUGGUAUCAGAGCUUCUGAGUUAUUCAUCUCGAUCACGGUAAUGACGUAUUUGAAGUAUGAAAUUCCGCUGUUGGAUCGCAACAAUAGAUUUGCAUUGUGGUAGAUUAAGAAUCAAGCAAUUCUUGUGUAGAUGGAUCUAGAGGAUGCCCUACUAGGGAUAGAUAAGAUGCCUUUAACAUUAACAGAUGAAGAGAAAGAAGCGUAAGGAUCGAAAGGCGUUAACACAAUUACAUCUGUAUUUUUCCAAUAAAAUUUUACAGGAUGUGAUGAAAGAGAAGACCGUCGCUGCAUUAUGGAAGAGACUAGAACAAAUAUGUAUGUCGAAAACUCUAACAAGCAAGUUGUAUCUGAAGCAGCGUCUUUAUGCUCAUAUUUUGGAGGAAAGUGCGUCUGUACACGAACACUUAAUAGUGUUUAAAGAAAUUCUAUCAAAUUGGGAGGCCAUGGAGGCUCAGUAUGAUAAGGAAGAUCUAGGGUUGAUUCUACUUUGUUCGUUUCCCCUGUCUUAUUCAACCUUUAGAGACACGAUUUUAUAUAGCCGCGAGUCUCUCACAGUUGAUGAGGUUUAUGAUUUUUUGACCUCGUAUGAUAAGAUGAAACAUCUUAUGGUUAAACUCGACUCUCAAGGAGAGGGUCUCAUUGUUCGUGAGAGACAAGAUCGAAAUGCUGAUGAUGAUCGUGGAAGGACACAGGAACGGAAUCAUCGCGGUAAAUCUAAAGGUAGAUCAAAGUCUUCAAACAAAUGUAAAACUUGUAACUUCUGCAAGAAGAAAGGGCACAUUAAAUCUGAGAGCUAUAAGCUACAGAACAAGAUUAAAAGGGAGGCUGCGAAUCAAAAGGAAAAGUAACCAGAAAAUUACGGUGAAGCUGAUGUUGUAGAAGACUACAGCGAUGGUGAAUUUCUAGUCGCUUCAGUCAAAAAUUCUAAAGUGAGCGAGGAGUGGAUACUUGAUUCAGGUUGCACCUUCUACAUAAGUCCCAAUCGGGAUUGGUUUACAACUUACGGAACAAUGUUUGAAGGUGGUGUUUUGAUGGGAAAUAAUGCUUCAUGUAAAAUCGUAGGUGUUGGAACAAUUAAAGUUAAGAUGUUUGAUGGAGUUGUCAGAACACUUAGUGACGUACGACAUGUUCUAGAAUUGAAAAAAAUUAAUUUCGUUGAGUGCUCUUGAUUCAAGAAGGUACAGAUACACAGCUGAAAGUGGGGUUUUAAAGAUUUCCAAAGGUUCUCUUGUUGUGAUGAAAGGGCAGAGAAAGACUGCCAAGUUAUAUGUUUUGCAAGGUUCUACUGUUAUUGGUGAUGCAGCUGUCGCUUCCUUUUCAUUGUCAGACGAUGAUAUUACUAAAAUUUGGCAUAUGCGCCUAAGGCAUAUAAGUGAGAAUGACAUGCCAGAAUUGAGCAAAAGAGGACUUCUUGAUGGGUAAGGAGUUUGCAAACUAAAUUUCUGUGAGCACUGUGUUUUUAGGAAGCAAAAGAGAGUUCGAUUCACUAGAGAAAUCCAAAACAUAAAGGGAACAUUGAAGUAUAUUCAUUCUGAUCUGUGGGGGCCAUCUAGAGUGCCUUUGAGAGGUGGAGCUAAUUAUAUGCUAACCUUUAUUGAUGAUUUUUCCAGAAAAGUUUGGGCAUUCUUCUUGAAGCAGAAAAGCGAUGUGUUUUCCGCAUUUAAGUCUUGGAAAAUUAUGAUUGAAAAACAGACGGGAAAACAAAUAAAAUAUCUCCGCACAGACAAUGGCUUAGAGUUCUGUUCUGAUGAGUUUAAUAGAUUGUGCAAAUCAGAAGGGAUCGUGAGACACUUGACAGUUCGCCAUACUCCGCAGCAAAAUGGCAUUGCAGAACGAAUGAACAGAAUGAUCAUGGAGAAAUUUCGAUAUAUGUUGUCAAAUGCCAACUUACCAAAGUCAUUUUGGACUGAAGCAGCUUCUACUACAUGUUUUUUUGAUCAACCGAUCCCCAUUCGUUGCCAUUGAAAAAAAGACUCCGCAAGAGGUAUGGUCUGGUAAUCCUGCAAAUUAUUCUGAUUUAAAGAUUUUUGGGUGUCCUGCGUAUGCUCAUGUUGAUAAUGGAAAAUUGAAACCGAGAUCCAUUAAACAUGUUUUUCUUGGUUAUAAAGCUGGUGUAAAAGGGUAUAAGUUAUGGUGUCCUGAAAAAAAAAAGUUGUGAUUAGCAGAGAUGUUGUUUUUGAUGAAACUGCUAUGUUGUCUAACUUAUCUCUUAAAGACUCUUCCAAUAAAGAAAAUCAAAAGUAGGUGGAACAUCAGAUUAAUACAGAGUCGACUCCUCAAGUCAGUACAAAAAUUGAGAAUAGAGUUGCUUCUUCACCGCAAUACUCUAUCGCCAAAAACAGAACUAGAAGAGAAAUUAAACCUCCAAAGUAGUAUGCUGAGGCUGAUCUAGUUGCUUAUGCUUUAAAUGUGGCUGAAGAUAUAGAUGCAAAUCAAGAGCCAUCUAAUUAUUCUGAGGCGGUUAGCUGUGAAGACUCAGAAAAUUGGAUGUUUGCUAUGCAAGAGGAGAUAGAAUCACUCCACAAAAACAGAAUAUGGGAUUUUGUAAAACUUCAUAUAGGUAAAAAGGCUGUUCGUUGUAAAUGGGUGUUUAAAAAGAAAGAAGAGACUCUAAGAGUUGAAGAACCCAGAUAUAAAGCAAUACUUGUUGCAAAGGGUUACAAUCAAAUUCUAGGAGUAGACUUCACAGAUGUAUUCUCCCCAGUUGUUAAGCAUAGUUCGAUUCGAGCUUUGCUUGGUAUUGUGGCCGCACAUGAUUUGGAGCUUGAGUAGUUAGAUGUAAAAACUGCACUUUUGCAUGGAUAACUUGAGGAGGAUAUUUACGUGCAACAACUAGAGGGUUUUACAGUCUUAAAAAAAGAGGACUAUGUUUGCUUCCAGAAAAAGUCCCUUUACGGUUUGAAACAGUCACCAAGACAGUGGUACAAGAAGUUUGAUUCCUUUAUGACUUCUCAUGAUUUCAAAAGAAGUAGUUUUGACAAUUGUGUUUACUUUAAGAAAAAUAGUGAUGGUUCAUUUGUGUAUCUACUUCUUUAUGUUGAUGACAUGUUGAUAGCAGCAAAAGAUAAAUGAGAGAUAAGAAAGGUCAAAACCCAACUAAGUGAAGAAUUUGAGAUGAAAGAUUUAGGACCAGCAAAGAAGAUACUUGGUAUGGAGAUUCUCAGAUAUAGAAAAGCAAGUAAAUUGUACCCAAGUUAGAAAGGGUACAUUGAGAAAGUUCUUUGCAGGCUCAAUAUGCAGAGUGCUAAGCUUGUUAGUACUCCUUUAGUAGCCCAUUUUAGACUUUCAUUGGCUUUGUCUCCAUAAUCAGAUGAUGAGAUUGAGUACAUGUCACAUGUUCCAUACUCUAGUGCAGUGGGAUCUCUCAUGUAUGCUAUGGUUUGUUCACGUCCAGAUUUAUCAUAUGCAGUCAGUGCAGUUAGCAAAUACAUGGUGAAUCUCGGUAAAGAACACUGGAAAAUUUAGUGGAUUUUAUGAUACUUACGAGGUACUACUGAUGUUUACUUACAAUUUGGAAGAACUAGAGAUGGAGUCGUUGGGUAUGUUGGUGCUACUUUUGCUGGAGACCUUGAUAGAAGAAGAUCUCUCACAUCUUAUGUCUUUACAAUCGGAGGUUGUGCAAUCAGUUGGAAAGCCACUUUGCAAACUACAGUCGCUUUGUCUACCACUGAAGCUGAGUACAUGGUGAUUACUGAGGCUUGUAAAAAAUCUAUUUGGUUGAAGGGACUUUUUAGUGAACUCAAUAAAGACCUUCAAAUCAACAUAGUAUUUUGUGAUAGUUAGAGUGUCAUCUUUCUUACAAAAGAUCAAAUGUUUCAUGAGAGAACAAAACACAUUGAUGUUCGGUAUCAUUUUGUUAGUGAUAUUAUUGCUCGUGGUGAUAUUGUUGUGAGCAAAAUUAGUACUCAUGAAAAUCCUGCAAAUAUGAUGACUAAGUCACUUUCUAUAACCAAGUUUGAGCAUUGCUUAGACUUGGUUGGUGUUUGUUGUUGAUGUUAAGCCCUUAAGGGGUUUUAUGAAAGAGGUGGAGAACUUGUUCGUUGAGAGUUCGCGAGCGAUGAAGAACUUGUUCGUUGAGAGUUCGCGAUGAAGAACUUGUUCAUUGAGAAUUCGUGUUAAGAUGGAGAUUGUUAGAAUUAAGUGACCCGAAUCCUUAUUUAAAUAAAAUAAUGUGGUAAAAUAAAAUAAAAGAAGAAUCCACCUAGAAUUACACUUCUUUUAUUUUAUUUUAGAAUAAGGUUUUUUAAACCUUAUUAAAUUCUAUCUAUUUGAUAUUGAUUAGAAUAAGGUAUUUCAGUCUUACUAGAAUAUGGCUUCACAAGCCUAUAAAUAGACAUAGUCUAUUCCUCUUGUAAUCAUUUGAAUUCGACAUAGUGAAUUUUCUUCUCCUCUGCUCGUGAUUUUUUCCCGAAAGGAUUUCCACGUAAAAAUUUGUGUGUUCUUUAUUUUAUUUUAUUUUCACAUUUAUAGUUGAAUUGUUCAUUUUUUAUUUCACCAAUUGUAACUUGGGAGGGUUUUAAUUGAGCCAUAAAAACUAAAAAAUAUUCUAGUUUAGCUAUUAAAGUUAGGAGGAAAGGUUUUGUCUAAGCCUUAAGAAAAAGAUAAUGAUGUACAUGUUAUACCUUCUCCUUAAAAGCCAUCAAUUUUAGUCGUGAAUUGGGAAAUCCUUAGAGGUGAAAAAUUACAGUAGUGAAGGUAAGCAAUUGGGGUCUAAUCACUAUAACUUCAUUUUAUCAAGCUAUUAUCCCUUGAUUUUUCCAUUUAGAAUAGUUUUUAAGAAAAUUUUCAAAAUACAAAUUCACCUUCCUCUUGGUAUAUUGGGGCCUAAUAGUGGAUGUAGUAAAAACAAAGGCAAAUUUCCAAUCACUAAACAUUGGAUGUUGCUUAAAGGGCUCACACACUUGAACAUCUAGAGGCUAAGCUCAGUUUUCUCAAUUCACAAAUCAAUUUAAUCAACAAAAGGAGGAAUACAGUCUUUCAAUACACUGCAAAUAUGAAAAGAACAUCAGUUUCGUUUUUCUUCCUUUGGUUCUUUUUGUAAAAAGAAAAAAAAGGAGAUCAGGUAAGGAAAGCAAAUUGGGAGUGAGAGCUGAAGCUGGAAUUGAUUGAGACAAUGGGAUAGUUUUGAGUCAAUAGGAGAUCACUGACCAAUUCAAGUUGUAUUUUGCUGGAGCUUGUAGGGUUCUUGUUUGUUGGUGUAAUAGGCCCAUUUCACCGGGGCCCAUUAGAAUAAAAAAAUAGAAAUUAAAAACUAAAAAUAAAACAAAAAUAAAAAAAAACACACAAACAAAAAAUCCAAAUGUCAAUGUCCUUUUACAAAUUUUACUAGCCCAAAUAAAAUUUCAAACACCCAACCCAAUUACGAAAAUAAUCCAUAACCCAAUAAGUCCUAAAACCCAAUUCUAAUUAACCCAUAUCCUAAAUCUAGCCCAAACUUGAAAGAGCCCAAAAAGGAAAAUUUUCAGCAGUCAAGAAAGCUCCUAGAAUGCACUGGAAGGGCACCAGAGGCACGGCUUCUCAUGUGAGAUCCCCGGGUCAUCUUCUCCGUACCUGCAAUAGAAUACAGUAUAUGACAGCAAUAAAAUGUAUUUUUAUUUUAUUUUUAUUCUGAAAUUUUGGCUAUAAAAGCUGAUGAUUGUACCUACAAAAAGGAGGACGCUCAUUAUACGCAUACAGAAUUUAAAAUUUUCAAAAAGGAAUUUCUAAAAGGUGAUCUUCUUUAGUUUUAAUUAUUCUCUUAUUUUUAUUUAUUUUUCCAGCAAUUAUCUUUAUCAUUUUGCAUGUAAAAACAAAAAGAAAGUCAAAUCUUACCUUGCGAAUCGGCUUUGGCCUUUGUUCACUUCGUUGAGAUUGAAAUUGAAAGGAGAAUCCAAAAGCAUUAUCCAUCAAGCCUCGAGAUGGCGCCAAUGAGAUCCCUAAUAUCUCUAAAAUACUGAGAUAAGGACGAGGGUCAGAGGCUGUUGAAUGUGUUGGUUUUCAACCUUGUUUUUUUUUUCUCUUUGAGCAAAUGAUUUGAGAUUUGAGAUAUUUUUUUUAAAAAUAAAAUAAAUUGGGUUACCAGAUUUCCUCGAGUGGACCUUCGAUGGUGAAGUCUGGUUGUUGUUCAUGCGUUAUCGACUACCAAAUAAAAUGGUGGUUCAAUGGCUGCAAAUAUGAACCAUAACAUUUUGAUUUUGGGGCUGUGCAUUUGGGUGGAUGAGUGGCUGCAUUUAAAGAAAGAAAAAGGAUAGAAGAAAGGUUCUAAAUAACCUAUUGGAAAAACGGGGUCGUCCACUAGCAAUGGAGGUCCGCGUAUUGGCCCGAAAUGUGAAUCGGAUCUGCGCCAUUUUGUAUGCAAGGGAAAUUUUCGCGCUAAGUCCUUUGCAUUCGCAUGGGGCUUCAACUGCAUCCUUUUUGCUUUGCUUUAUUUUUUAAUUUGGCUUACUGAUUUGAGCGCAUUUUCAUUUAAAUUCAUGAUACAGUGAUGUGAUUUAGGCCUGGGAGGAUUUACAAUAUCAGUCCCUAUAUAUUUAUGCAUGUUAUGCAUUGAUCUAUUUUAUGGUCAUUUUAGUUACAAAUUAUCCUUCUUAUCUUGAUGCAUUUUUAAUUGAGUUUUAUAUUUGUAUAAUCGGUUCAUUUAGAAGACAUUCAAUAUGUGUAUGCCUUGAUACAAGUUAAUAAUUUUGUUUGUUACAUUUGUAUAAUUAUUUUAGAUUGUUUUUUUUUACAUCAUGUAUUUUUGUUUUUUUUUUACAUCAUGUAUUCUAUUUCUUUAAAUAUUUUACAUAUAUUUGUAUAUUAAUCAUUUUUUUUAGUUUUUUAUAAUAAUUAUUGUUUUGCAUGUUAUAAAUUUUUUUUAUAUUACAUUGUUGUACAGGCCCAAUAUUGCCCUGGCCCAGACAAAUAAAAAAUAACAAAACCUAAAACAAUAAAAAAGAGUCCAAAAUAAUUAGCCCAUUUAUAAUAUUAAACAGCCCAAUUUACAUCAAACCCUAGCCCAAAUAACAGCCCACUUGCUUAAGGUUUUUCAGCAGCAAACCCCUGGCACCCCAGCUCUCCAUGCCACCAUGUCGGCCACCAUGCCCCUCAGCCUUGGCCACCACGCUCCACGCGUUUGACACUCCCACCAACUCCUCCAUGUGCACCCACCUGUUGAUUUCCAUCACCUGCAGAAUAAGACAAAAAAGAAAGCAAACACUAAUACAGAGGCAGACGACAGGAAGCAAUGGCAAGAAAUUUAAAAAAAUAUUGUAUUGAAAUAGCUAUAAAUGCCAGAUCUGAAUGUAAUACAGGGGAAAUUUUUUAGAGAUUUCAAAGGGAAGAAUCGGUUGUAUUUUGGGGGGAUAUAUAUUUUUUCUUCAGAGAUAAUACAAGCGGAAGAGUAAAUCAAGAAUCGGAACUAAGUUUUGAAAGGUGAUUUUUCAUUUUUUUUGGAAUUUUCUCUUGAUUUGGAUUUCGUUUGUUCUGUUCCAUUUUCAAUUUUUUUAAAAAAAACGGUUUUUAAAAAAAAAAACAAGAGAGGGAGAGAGGGGACUUACCAACGAACUCGCGACCUCGGCUCGCCGGACCUCCGAUGAGAGUGGCGCAGGCCUAAGAGAAAAUUUGAGAGCUUUCUCUCUGUUUUUCUUUAAGGAAAAUAAGAGAGAUGAUGGGUAAAUGUUUUUUUUUUGUUUUCAAAAAAAGGGUGUUCAAUGUUUUAAAAAUAAAAAAACAAAAAAGUAGGCUUCAUUUGUUUUUUUCCCCUCAAAAGUAGAGCCUGG
rnacentral:lncRNA from 1 species